ensembl:lincRNA 1700008K24Rik RIKEN cDNA 1700008K24 gene
GAAGUAAGGGACCAUUGUGAAGAUGGAAGAAUGCCCACAAAAUCCAGCUUGAAACCUGCUGGCUCUGAGGGUCCUGCUGGCUCAGCAGUGCUGGUAACCAAGAAGUAUCGCAGGCCCAGGAAAGUUACCCUUCUAUUUGCGGAGAGCUAUUGCCUAUCGGCCUGGACCAGCAGAUAACUCAGCACUCAUGAUCAGCUGUCAAGCUAUAACGGAGUGUUGAGGCAGUCCCUGAAACCACAGCGCCAUUUUGUAGGAACUAAGAAGCCAACCUCAAGGAAUCACUCGCCCCAAGAAGACUUUGUUCUGAUCUGAUGUGUUUCUAGCCUGGUGGAGCCUCAGCUAUCCAAAGGAAGAGCUGUUAAGAUGAUUGGAAUUUUGGUUUUUCCGAUUCACUCUUUUUUCUCUCCAGCCAUCUGCCUUAGACAGCAGGAGAAAAGGAAACUUAGCCUCAGAGGUGGGGUCCUUCGGAAGGACUGACAGUGGGCUAGCUCUCCUGCUGCUGGGAGCCUGAGUGCCUUUGGCUCCUUGUCCAGACCUCAGCUUUACCACGGAGGUUACCUGCUUACCAUCAACAUCGAAACUUGCCUCUUCCCCUGGGUGUAUUCUCCCUCUUUUGUGUACAGUUUGAUUCCUCCAAACUGCUCUCCCUGUGAAGAAAGCCGAUGGAAUUCAGGGAGCCUGGCCAGCCACCCAGGCCUUUAUAAAGGUCCUCGUACCACAGGAUGUAUGGGAGACCCAAUAAAGACUUUUGCAAAAUG